GAUGAACGCUAGCGGCAGGCUUAACACAUGCAAGUCGAGGGGCAGCAUGAGACGGAGAUUCGUCGAAGUCUUGAUGGCGACCGGCGCAAGGGUGCGUAACGCGUGAGAAACCUGCCUCUCAGUGGGGGACAACAGUUGGAAACGACUGCUAAUACCGCAUAACGUAUUCGGACCGCGUGAUCUGAAUACCAAAGCUUUAUGUGCUGAGAGAUGGUCUCGCGUCUGAUUAGCUAGAUGGCGGGGUAACGGCCCACCAUGGCGACGAUCAGUAGCCGGUCUGAGAGGAUGAACGGCCACAUUGGGACUGAGAUACGGCCCAG
rnacentral:rRNA from 1 species